GUGGGGGAUAUUGCACAAUGGGCGAAAGCCUGAUGCAGCAAUGCCGCGUGAGGGAAGAAGGUUUUCGGAUUGUAAACCUCUGUCCCUGAUGACGAAGACAGUGACGGUAAUCAGGGAGGAAGCCACGGCUAACUACGUGCCAGCAGCCGCGGUAAUACGUAGGUGGCAAGCGUUGUCCGGAAUUACUGGGUGUAAAGGGAGCGCAGGCGGGAAGGCAAGUCAGCGGUGAAAACUAUGGGCUCAACCCAUAGACUGCCGUUGAAACUGUUUUUCUUGAGUGAAGUAGAGGCAGGCGGAAUUCCGAGUGUAGCGGUGAAAUGCGUAGAUAUUCGGAGGAACACCAGUGGCGAAGGCGGCCUGCUGGGCUUUUACUGACGCUGAGGCUCGAAAGUGUGGGGAGCAAACAGGA
rnacentral:rRNA from 1 species